GGCUCAAUGGUGCAGUUGGUAGCACUGUUGCCUCACAGCAAACAGGUGCCUGGAUCAAAUCGCAGCUGAGGCC
rnacentral:tRNA from 1 species